CGGGACGGGUGAGUAAUGUCUGGGAAACUGCUGAUGGAGGGGGAUAACUACUGGAAACGGUAGCUAAUACCGCAUAACGUCGCAAGACCAAAGAGGGGGACCUUAGGGCCUCUUGCCAUCGGAUGUGCCCAGAUGGGAUUAGCUAGUAGGUGGGGUAACGGCUCACCUAGGCGACGAUCCCUAGCUGGUCUGAGAGGAUGACCAGCCACACUGGAACUGAGACACGGUCCAG
rnacentral:rRNA from 1 species